UGCUGAUCGACAGGAAGCUGAACAUGAGCCAGCAGUGUGCCCAGGUGGCCAAGAAGGCCAAUGGCAUCCUGGCCUGCAUCAAGAACAGUGUGGCCAGCAGGAGCAGGGAAGUGAUCCUUCCCCUGUACUCUGUGUUGGUGAGACCGCACCUUGAGUAUUGUGUUCAGCUCUGGGCCCCUCAGUUCAGGAAGGAUAUUGAGGUGCUGGAGCAGGUCCAGAGAAGAGCAACCAGGCUGGUGAAGGGACUUGAGCACAAGCCCUAUGAGGAGAGGCUGAGGGAGCUGGGAUUGUUUAGUCUAGAGGAGGUUCAGGGGUGACCUCAUCACUCUCUGCAACUACCUGAAGGGAAGUUAUAGCCAGGUGGGGGUUGGUCUCUUCUCCCAGGCAACCAACAACAGGACAAGGGGACAUGGGCUCAAGCUCUGCCAGGGGAAGUUUAGGUUAGAUGUUAGGAAGAAAUUCUUUACAGAGAGGGUGAUCAGGCAUUGGAACGGCCUGCCCAGAGAGGUGGUGGAUUCACCAUCCCUGGAAGUUUUUAAAAAGAGAUUGGACAUGGCCCUUAGUGCCAUGAUAUAGUAAUUAGAGUUGGAUCAGGGGUUGGACUUGAUGAUCUUGGAGGUCUUUUCCAACCCAAUCUAUUCUAUGAUUCUAUGAUUCUAUAAUUCUCUCUCCUUAGCUGGGGGAUGCCUACUCCUGAUAGCAGAGACUCUUGUUUACCCUGGCGAAUUAUGGAAGAUCUCUUCCUUAAUUUCCUCUCUUAGCUUCUGGUGGCCCUCUUCAGUCUUUUCUUCCCGGCUUUGGACACUUUCGGCCAGUUUUGAUUCCACAGAGCAGAUGUGGGCUUGUAGCACGCGUCAUGACAAAACCCAGCUCACGAAGGGGUCCACACAAGUGCUGAGUUUGAAACAAAUGAGCCUUUAUUGAAGGAACAUUCAGGAAAAAGGAGAGUGGUUUUCCAUAUAAGGUAAAAGGUAGGAGGGGAUUAUGCAAACUUGGGCAUAAGGAGGAGGGUACAAAACCAUAAGGGAAAAUAUGGGUGGAACAUAUGCAAAUAGAGGAAACCUCUGCAACAACAGCCAAUCAGAAAAUAGGAAUAAAGUUUAUAACAUUCUGAGGGGCAAACAAUCUUAAAACUGGGUUUUGUAAUUACCAACCACAUAUUAGAAUAUUAGAAUAUUUGUGUAAAAAAUAUAAUAAAGUGGGACAAAAUACACCACUGUAAAUUGUCCUAUGAAAGAAAGGCAAAAAGUCCACAGGAGAAAGUCCUUCAACCACAGAGGGAAAUAUGUCUGCACAUGUCCCCUGAACAGAGGCAUCAACCUAACAAUAGGUUUAGCCACAUUGUCUCUGUAUUAAAGUCCUCAGCUGAGUCCUGCUAUCUUCUCUCAGCUUUAUUUGUUUUUCGGGUAGCACUCCUUCUUCCAUAACUCAUAGUCCUUCCACUGUAUUUUGCCACCCCCGACAGGCUCGUAAUGGGGCAGUGACAGAGUCUUCAUAAAUCCUGAGUUUACCAAGCAGUGCACACACCUUGUCCUCUCCCUCCCUCCAUUGCAACAUUGCUAAGUAGUGGGAAUACAUUUCUGGCCUGAGCUGUGCAAGCUCUAACCACAUCUGGGAUGUGCACUGUACACUGUCUGGACUUUUAGGGAAUCUUUCGUCUUCUGAAAAGAUUAUCUCCAGUACGGCUAAUUCUCUCAAGCAUCGGAUACCUUGUUCCAUCAUGUUCCAUUGUCCUUGCUGCUCAUGGAGGUCCUCCUUACAAAGAUACCUCUCCCUCACACUUGACAACAGUCACUGCCUGAGGCUUAGAGUUUCCUGCCUUCUUACAAUCCCCUGAUCAAUGACUACAUCUCGAGACAGGGAUCGCAGUUGCCUUGCUUUACUCCCAUCUAGAAUUGUAUCAUUAGCUGUGGCGUCCCAGAUUUGGAGCAGCCAUGUCAAAAUGGACUCGUUUGCCUCGUUUGUCGCAUGAACUCUCUCCGCAGCUCAUGCAGAUCACCCAGGUUAGGGACCGAGUGGAUGAUUUCUGGCUCUGUUUCUUCUGCUAAGCAUAAAGGUCCUGCCUCUACCCUGUCAUCCACUAAGCAAACUGAUUUAGUCUUGGAUUUUCUUUUCUGGACAGGAGUGACAUGGUGCUGGUUAAUUUGCUUUGUUUUACCUCUGGCUCAGCCAUGGUUUGUGUGGACAAGGUGCCUGUUGAUUUGCUUCUUUUCCCCUCGGGUUCAGCUCUGAUUUGUGUGGACACAGUACCUACUGAUUUGUUUCCUUUCUCCUCCUCCUGAAGGUGCUGUACCACACCAAGCAGCGACUGGUAGGCAGUGGCCAGGGCCCAGCAUGUUGUCAUAAGCUGCCCAUCUCUGGACCUUCCUUCCACAUAUCUUACUACUCUAACAGGGUCCCGCAGUUGUUCAGGGAUGAAUUUCCAGAUCAUUGGAGGAGAGAAGCUCUCCAAAUACUGGCCCAUGUCCUCCCACUUCCUGUGCCACUCAGCAUUAUCCACUCCCAGAGCAGGCCUCCAGGCAACUUCCUUAGAAGCUGCCCUUGGCCAGUUCCUGCAAAUGACCCAUUAUUAACAGUCCAUCAGAAAUGACAUACAGGGUGUAGAAUACACAGUUUUGGUUAUACCCACAUAGUAAUAAACUGGUCCCAGUCCCUGUAACAAGGACAGCGGUUGAAUUCCAUCCAUGGAAAAUUUAAUUUAUCCCCAGAGGUGAUUAUAAGUACAGUGACAUGGCUUGUUAGACUGCAUUGAAGGAUCUGUCCUGGAUACUCAAAAUCAUAGGGAAUUUUUAAACAGUCUUUUGCUGCCUUAAUGGAAAAUAAUUAUAAUAAUGAAGUUGUAUGCUGAAUUCUCUUGAUCUCUUGAGAGUUUUAAAAAAGACAUGACACUUACUUCACUAGAUUUUUUUUUUUCCUCUUCAUACCUCUUAGUGGUAACAUUGUUUAUCUACAGAUAAUGUAGAACUGAUAAAAGAAUGAGGAAGAAACUUCUUGAUGUAUAUAAGUUUUAAUUUUGAGAGAGUGUUAUUUUCUGGAUAUAUUUUUCUUCAUUUUACUGUGAAAUUGAUUGCUUCAAGGAGUUUUUCAUAGCUGGGAUUUUGGAAAUGAUCCCUCAAUAUUUGUUUGGAAAAGAGGACUUGUGGAAGGCAAAGGUCACUUUUACAGCAAGUGUUGUAUAUUAGUGGCUGAAUGGUACAUUGUUUUUUUUUUUUUAUUUAUAUGGAAAAGGCAUCAGGUAUCAAGUAGUUAGAAGAUUUAUCUUGUGACUGUAAUAGUAUAGCAGGAGAUAACAUGGUACGAUACAAAGGCGGUCCUGUAGUGUCAAAAAAUACCUCCAAAUUCUCAGGUUCCAGAGCUUAAUGUACAUACUUCUGACCUCUCAGGAAGAAAAGAGGCUGGGUGGGGAAUGGUAGGGUGCCUAGGAGCCGGAAGGGAGAACAUGCCUGGGUGGAAAUGUAAAGCAAACUGAAUGUGAACUUCCGUCCAAACAGAAGUAACUGUGAAACUGGGCAGCACAAUGGUUUAGCUGUGGGAGGGAUUCACAAUAGAACUGCUUUGGUGCGUUACCACCCUGGGAAAGAAAAUGUAUGGGUAUAACCUGCCUGCCUCUUUUUACGUGGUCUGACUCUAUGAAGACCAGAAUGCCCACACUACAAAAGGCACAAUUAUCAAAUAUCUGAACAUUUUUCAUCUAAUAAUAAAAACAUAAUAAUUAGAUUAUUUGCUUCACUAUAUUGCACUUUUAUUGAGCAUUCUCUGAAAAAAAGCAAAGAGAUUCCUGCAGCACUUUGCCAUAUGAGAAUGCUUAUCUUGGAGGUCACUGGGACUGCUUGUAUAAUCUAGUGUUUGCAGGCUCAAGCUGUGUUUUUUGCAAAAUGUUUUGAAAGAUAUCAGGAACAUUACCCCAAAUCUGUGGUUUGAAAAAUAAAUGUGAAGUCAUUAGUUACAAAAAUUACUAUUCUUAGAAAUUAUGUUUUAUUACUCCUUUUGGAAAUUAAACUACAGCCUGCAGUAACAUUAGCUUGUCUGAUUCACUCUGUUAAUGUUUGUAUUAAUAUAUUAAAACACCUCUGUUAAUCCCUAGCAACACAACCCAAUCUACAUGCUUAUUAUGUAUUUUAUCUGAGUAGUCUUGAGUGUCAAACUGAGAGCUUUCAUUAUGACAAAAUUACAUUCCUGUGUACCUGAAGACAGCGUGUUAAGACUUCCACGGACUAAUGCUGCUCUCACAAGUCAGUGGCAACUCAGUCUGGUACUUCAGUGAUGACCCAAAAUGCAUACAUAGGAUGCAGUAGCCAGCUGUGCAGACAACUAUGGAAGACAUGGAAAUCAUACACAGGCUUGAUUGGCCCUCUACCGAAGUGCUGGAUGUCAGCCUCUUGAAACAUAAGCAUAUAGAUCUGUGGCUGUGGGUUUUUUUCAGUGGGAAGAUCAGUGAAAACCAGCACAUUUAAAAUUUGAUGAUUACUUCUAUAAAUAUUUAGGGCCAGUUCUGUUCGUUAUUCAUGCAUAUAAUCACAGUGACUAUUCCUGCAAGUAAAGAAGGCAGACUCAAAUGUAGUGUCUGAAGUGGAAUUUUUUUUUUAAUGAAUGACCAAUUUUGUCUUGGCUCCUAUUUCAGUGUGUCAUUUAUCUUGAUUAAGUAGUAAAUCUCUUCCAUUGUGUUAUUUAGGAAUCUAAUUCAGAAUUCAUAUUUACAAUAUUUAAAUUAUCCUACUAAGCAUGAUGUUUUUGUGGGAAUUUGCAAAAAUUCAAUAGCACUCGUUACUUGUUUGCAACAGAAAUAGAUUCAUUUGUUAAAAGCUAACAAGAAAAGUUUGAAAUGUAAAGAUGUUUCAUUAUUGUGCUUUUCUGACAGAACCUGUAAUCCUUGUGUAAUUUAUGUCCUCAGAAUAACGCACCUGUAUGUACGCUCUUUCAUAUUUAAUAAAACAUUGUUGUAAAAA